rnacentral:lncRNA from 1 species
ACAAAAUAAAGACUUUUCUUGACCCUAGGGGGAAGUGGGAGCAUUCCCAUGGACUUGCCACUUCAGUUACCUUGAACAGGAAACAUGAAUAGGACAAAUGAAAAUGAAGACUGUUUGACUUCUCGUGCCUAAAGCCUGGGCUAGAUCUAUUCAACAGAACUGUGCAAGGAACUCAAAGCUGUUGCCAAAAUACAUAUGCGUAAGAAGGGAAAUCAGUAGGGAUGGUCAAGAUUUGGCAUUCAAACACUGGCUUUGUACAGUAUGGACUAGCGGAAUCUCAGCUUUUCUUUCUUCUCCGCAUGGCUGACUUUCGGCUACAGAUUCUUGCAAUUUCUGCAAAGUUUAUGCUUUCUCCUCGGAUGAUUUGGGAGCGGGGAGGAGAAACAUUUCCUGGGACUCUCAUGGUUGAAUCCAUUCUGCUUUUAGGGUUUAAUUAAAAUCUCACUUCCUGAAGGAAGCUUUUCUAUUCCUUAGCAGAAAGUUUAAUGGUAAAUGCUGAAUUGCCAGAAGGAAUUGAGUCUUACAAAUUUAUUUUCUAAUACAAAGAAGCCUUAUAUUAUGAUUGUUUGUUUGUACAUCUAUAUUUCCUCCAUAAUAAUGUAAACUUUUGCAGAGAGAAAAUGGGUUUAGGGAGAAUGAAUUCUGAGUGCUUAUAAAAAGAGGGAGACUCCUGCUAAUAGCUUCGGAAAGUGACCUUUUAUUUCAGAAACUAUCUGGAGCUUACUAAAGAGUCUGCCUCCAAAGAAUCUAGGUCACAUUUUUGGGGUUUGGAGGAUGCUUCAUCCCCCAAGUAGAGAAGAAGUGAUCCCAGAAGUGUUUCUUCCACCUAAGACAACACUGGAGGAUUUAUUGAGAUGUUGCUGACAGAUCCCUUGGGACUCCCUGAUGGAAGAAUCUUGAACAUAAAGCAUAUAAGGCCUCUGGUACAAAGUGGCUCCACAACACAGGCCAGUGGCAGCUUUGAUUACAAUUAUUGUUAUUUUUGUACAUUUUAUUUAUUUACAUCCCUGCUUAGGCAUGAACCUAGUGAGAACCUACACACUUUCCUCCUGAACCCUAGACAAAUUGGUCUGUUUCCAUUCAUUUUCAUUUCUCAUGUUAUGUUUAUCUUAUUUUACUGAGAUUAGCUAUUCUUUUGUGUGGCUUUUGUUUUUUUUUUUGGCUAAAAUGUAAAUCUAUAGUAGGAGCCUAGAGCUGUUGGCUGUUUAUUUCUUUCUCCAGUUUCUUCAUUCACUCCCUCACUCACCCUCUCAAUCAGUC